rnacentral:rRNA from 1 species
UACGAGAGGCCCAAACGUUAUUCGGAUUUACUGGGCUUAAAGAGUUCGUAGGCGGUGCAGAUAGUGGGGUGUGAAAGCCCUCGGCUCAACCGAGGAAUUGCGCUCCAAACUCCUGUACUCGAGGAAGCUAGAGGUGAGCAGAACUGAUGGUGGAGCGGUGAAAUGCGUUGAUAUCGAGAGGAACACCUGCGGCGAAAGGCGGGUUGCU